GACGAACGCUGGCGGCGUGCCUAAUACAUGCAAGUCGAACGCAGUGGGGACGGGUGAGUAACACGUGGGUAACCUCCCAUCAGAGGGGAUAACACUUGGAAACAGGUGCUAAACCGAUACUGAUGGAUGGACCCGCGGUGCAUUAGCUAGUUGGUGAGGUAACGGCUCACCAAGGCCACGAUGCAUAGCCGCCCUGAUAGGUUGAUCGGCCACACUGGAACUGAGCCACGUCCCAGACUCCUACGGGAGGCAGCAGUAGGGAAUUUCCGGCAAUGGACGAAAGUCUGACGGAGCAACGCCGCGUGAGUGAAGAAGGUUUUCGGAUCGUAAAGCUCUGUUGUUAGAGAAGCGGUAUCUAACCAGAAAGCCACGGCUAACUACGUGCCAGCAGCCGCGGUAAUAC
rnacentral:rRNA from 1 species